CAGACCGCCUCUCUCUCAGUCUUCAGGGAGUACUUGUCUUCCGGCCAGCUCUCUUCCUGCUUCUGCUAUCUUGCUGACGCAGGCUGCUGGUGCAAGGGAUCUUGCACCUUGGGACUGGGCCUGAGAAGAGUGUUUCUUGGAGGUAGAGCAGUCAUCAACAUCCCCGUUUUGUUGACUGGAGAAUGAAGCAAUUCCACAGCCAAUGCAUGGCAGGGCAAGAUAAGAGCAUGCCAGAAACUAUACAAUCCACCCCCUUUGAAGGAGUUUGCUCAUUUAAAAAAAAAAAAGGGUAAGCA